rnacentral:rRNA from 1 species
CACACGACUCUCGGCAACGGAUAUCUCGGCUCUCGCAUCGAUGAAGAACGUAGCGAAAUGCGAUACCUGGUGUGAAUUGCAGAAUCCCGCGAACCAUCGAGUCUUUGAACGCAAGUUGCGCCCGAGGCCACUCGGCCGAGGGCACGCCUGCCCGGGCGUCACGC